AUGGUUAACAAGCUCCUUGAGCUACACCCAAAGCAGCAAACGAUUAACAAGCAUAAAUAGGCGCUCAAUGAUUCAACCUCUGUUCUAGUUAUAGACAAGAGAUACAACCCCAAAUUCGCUAUCCAUCAUUGGAUUCUAUUUAUACCAAAAAGAAUUCUCAUUUCAAAGGAAAAAUCUGAUCAUGUUGGUGACAUUAGUGACCUAGCAAACAAAAUGCAACAUUUACAUCAAAAAAAGUUUCACUGAGACCAAUUUUAGAAGCAGACUCAAUUUUAAGAUGAUUGAACACACAAUUAAAAAUCUCAAAAUUGAUCUCUAUGUCUUCUUCACUGAGCAUCGUGAUUUCAACAAUCAACAGCUACAGAAAAUGAAUCGAGAAUUGAGAAUUGUAACCUGAGAGGAGAGGAGGCCAGAGG